UAUGACCACAAAAGGAAGGUUGGGAUUGAUUUUCGGAGUUGAGGUCCCAACAGUUUAGGAGCCAAAAGGGGCCAAAAUUAAACUUUGUUUGAUUUCAUCAAAAAUUGAACUAUUGGGGUUCUCUGAUAUACUGAAUCUAACCGUGUAUUUCGAUUCUUAAUUUUUGGUCUGGUUUUCAAAUUGGUCUACAUUAAGGUCCAAAGGGUCCAAAAAUAAAGUUUGAUUUUAACAAAAAUUGAAUUCUUGGGGUUCUUUGAUAUGCUGAAUCU
rnacentral:lncRNA from 1 species